AUGAACGCUAGCGGCAGGCCUAACACAUGCAAGUCGAGGGGCAUCACGGAUUGCUUGCAAUCUGGUGGCGACCGGCGCACGGGUGCGUAACGCGUAUACAACCUACCUUUUGGAGGGGAAUAGCCCAGAGAAAUUUGGAUUAAUACCCCAUAGUAUAUAGGAAUCUCCUGAUUUUUAUAUUAAACAUUUAUGGCCAUUAGAUGGGUAUGCGUCCUAUUAGCUAGUUGGUGUGGUAACGGCACACCAAGGCUACGAUAGGUAGGGGUCCUGAGAGGGAGAUCCCCACACUGGUACUGAGACACGGACCAGACUCCUACGGGAGGCAGCAGUGAGGAAUAUUGGACAAUGGGCGAGAGCCUGAUCCAGCCAUGCCGCGUGCAGGAAGACUGCCCUAUGGGUUGUAAACUGCUUUUACAGAGGAAGAACCACCCUCACGUGUGGGGGUUUGACGGUACUCUGCGAAUAAGGAUCGGCUAACUCCGUG
rnacentral:rRNA from 1 species